rnacentral:tRNA from 1 species
AAUAGAGUGCCUGAAUAAAGGAUAAUUUUGAUAGAAUUAAUCAUGUGAUUUAUCACCUCUAUUA